rnacentral:lncRNA from 1 species
AAAAGAACUUAAAUGACAAACUCAUAGUUACUUGAGUUUGUAAUUCAUAGUUAACUUUCACAGUUCUAUAAUCAAUCUGGAAUUCAGAGUGAGGUAGAGAUCAAGCAGUAUUUCUCCCAUAUGGAUAUUCAGUUGAUACUGCAGUAUUCAUUGAAAAUACUUCUUUCCUGCAUCGUAAUUCAGGUGAACAAUCCAUUGGUGUUAUUUCUGUGUCCUUGCCAAUAUCACACUUUUAAUUACUGUAACUUUAUAAUAAGAUUUUAUAUCUGUAGUAGAAGUCCAACUUUGUAAUCCCUCCCAAUUGGCUUGGCUAUUCUUGGCCUUUUGCAUUUCCAUAUAAUUUUUUAUUUUUGUUUUGAAACGAAGUUUCGCUCUUGUUGCCCAGGCUGGAGUGCAGUGGCGCGAUCUCGGCUCACUGCAACCUCCGCCUCCCAGGUUCAAGUGAUCCUCCUGCCUCAGACUCCCGAGUAGCUGGGAUUACAGGUGCCCACCACCAUGCCCAGCUAAUUUUUGUAUUUUUAGUAGAGACAGGGUUUCACCAUGUUGGCCAGCCUGGUCUUGAACUCCUGACCUCAGGUGAUCCACACCCACCUUGGCCUCCCAAAGUGCUGGGAUUACAGGCAUGAGCCACCGCGCCUGGUUGCAUUCCCAUAUAAAUUUAAAAACAAUCUACUGAAAGAUGUAUACGACCUCCACCAAGAAAAUUGUAAGACAUUUGGAGAAGUUUAAAAAGACAUGAAUAAACGGAAAUGGUUUUUUUAAAUAAACAAAUGAUUUUUAAAGUUGAUCAUUAGGUUAAUAAAUAGUCAUAUAAUGACAAUCCGAUGAGAUUAUGUUGCCCAGGGUGGUCUCUAACUCCUAGCCUCAAGCAGUUUUACUCUCUCAUUACAGGUGUAGGCCACCGUGCCUGGCCUGACACUUGGAAAUCUUAAUCACAAUUAUUCUUUGUUUUUAUAAUGUUUACUGUUCAAAUCAAUUUCUGGUUGGAUAGUAUGUAUAUAUAAAGCCAUGCUCAAUGGCCUAGAUAUAUUUACUGCCAAAUCUUUUAUGCUUUUAGUGUUUUUUUUCUGGACAAGAUCUAUGCUUAUUGCAAUAAAUUAAAUGCAAAGAAUAUUCUAGUAGAAAGUCAGUCUGCACUUCCUAAACCCCACCCCACCCCACCAAUUCCUUCAUAACUGUUAUUAACAGUUAGCUGUGUUUUCUAAUGGAUUAUCUCCAAAGUAUAUGUAACUCAGAUUUUUGUGAGGUAGGAAAAGAAUAACAUUAAUUCCACUUCACAUAUUGAAAGUCUAACAUACAAAGAGAUUAAAUAUCUCCUUUCUUUUGCCAAAUGUUAAUGAAUUGUCUUAUGAGAAUUAAGAUAUGAUACUUUCUCCCAAGCUAUACUGUUUCCCAUAAAGUAUUUGAGAUGUUGGAGAUUCAAGGGAAAAAAUAUAAAUGCUUAGAAAUAAAGUGUAUAAUGCAAAGAUUGUGAAUAAAGUGACACUUGUAUGUUAAUCCUAUAAAUUGGUUUCUUGUACCAUGUAGGAUGGUUUGGCUAUUAAAUUGAAUUAAGUGGUUCA